rnacentral:rRNA from 1 species
AAAAAACAAAUUUUAUUUAGUACGAAAGGAAUUUUAAAAUCUAAUUUUUUAGUAUUAUUUAUUUUAUUUGCAUCAAUUUUUGUAAUU